GCGAUCAUACCAGCACUAAAGCACCGGAUCCCAUCAGAACUCCGAAGUUAAGCAUGCUUGGGCGAGAGUAGUACUAGGAUGGGUGACCCCUAGGAAGUCCUCGUGUUGCACCCC
rnacentral:rRNA from 1 species